rnacentral:rRNA from 1 species
UACGUAGGGACCGAGCGUUGUCCGGAAUCAUUGGGCGUAAAGAGCGUGUAGGCGGCCACUUAAGUCCUGCGUGAAAUCUUGCGGCUCAACCGCAAGCGGUCGUGGGAAACUGGUGGCUAGAGUGCGGGAGAGGAGAGUGGAAUUCCUGGUGUAGCGGUGGAAUGCGCAGAUAUCAGGAAGAACACCCGUGGCGAAGGCGGCUCUCUGGAACGCAACUGACGCUGAGACGCGAAAGCGUGGGGAGCAAACAGG